GAUGAACGCUGGCGGCGUGCCUAAUACAUGCAAGUCGAGCGAACAGACGAGGAGCUUGCUCCUCUGACGUUAGCGGCGGACGGGUGAGUAACACGUGGAUAACCUACCUAUAAGACUGGGAUAACUUCGGGAAACCGGAGCUAAUACCGGAUAAUAUAUUGAACCGCAUGGUUCAAUAGUGAAAGACGGUUUUGCUGUCACUUAUAGAUGGAUCCGCGCCGCAUUAGCUAGUUGGUAAGGUAACGGCUUACCAAGGCAACGAUGCGUAGCCGACCUGAGAGGGGGUUCGCCCACACGGAAAUUGAGACAGGUUCCAGACUCCUACGGGGGGCGGCAGUGGGAAAUCUUCCGCAAUGGGCGAAGCCUUGACGGGGCAACGCCGCUGAGGUGAUGAAGGCCUUCGAAUCGUAAAACUCUUUUAUUGGGAAAGAACAAAUGUGAAGGUAACUAUGCACGUCUUGACGGUACCUAAUCAAAAAGCCACGGCUAACUACGU
rnacentral:rRNA from 1 species